GGGCGAUUCAGGGGGGCUCUUGGCCUCCGGAGCCGAAGGUCGCGCGUUCGAAUCGCGCAUCGCUCA
rnacentral:tRNA from 1 species